rnacentral:rRNA from 1 species
AUGAACGCUAGCUACAGGCUUAACACAUGCAAGUCGAGGGGCAGCAUGGUCUUAGCUUGCUAAGGCCGAUGGCGACCGGCGCACGGGUGAGUAACACGUAUCCAACCUGCCGUCUACUCUCGGACAGCCUUCUGAAAGGAAGAUUAAUACAAGAUGGCAUCAUGAGUCCGCAUGUUCACAUGAUUAAAGGUAUUCCGGUAGACGAUGGGGAUGCGUUCCAUUAGAUAGUAGGCGGGGUAACGGCCCACCUAGUCUUCGAUGGAUAGGGGUUCUGAGAGGAAGGUCCCCCACAUUGGAACUGAGACACGGUCCAAACUCCUACGGGAGGCAGCAGUGAGGAAUAUUGGUCAAUGGGCGAGAGCCUGAACCAGCCAAGUAGCGUGAAGGAUGACUGCCCUAUGGGUUGUAAACUUCUUUUAUAAAGGAAUAAAGUCGGGUAUGGAUACCCGUUUGCAUGUACUUUAUGAAUAAGGAUCGGCUAACUCCGUGCCAGCAGCCGCGGUAAUACGGAGGAUCCGAGCGUUAUCCGGAUUUAUUGGGUUUAAAGGGAGCGUAGAUGGAUGUUUAAGUCAGUUGUGAAAGUUUGCGGCUCAACCGUAAAAUUGCAGUUGAUACUGGAUAUCUUGAGUGCAGUUGAGGCAGGCGGAAUUCGUGGUGUAGCGGUGAAAUGCUUAGAUAUCACGAAGAACUCCGAUUGCGAAGGCAGCCUGCUAAGCUGCAACUGACAUUGAGGCUCGAAAGUGUGGGUAUCAAACAGGAUUAGAUACCCUGGUAGUCCACACGGUAAACGAUGAAUACUCGCUGUUUGCGAUAUACUGCAAGCGGCCAAGCGAAAGCGUUAAGUAUUCCACCUGGGGAGUACGCCGGCAACGGUGAAACUCAAAGGAAUUGACGGGGGCCCGCACAAGCGGAGGAACAUGUGGUUUAAUUCGAUGAUACGCGAGGAACCUUACCCGGGCUUAAAUUGCAGAUGAAUUACGGUGAAAGCCGUAAGCCGCAAGGCAUCUGUGAAGGUGCUGCAUGGUUGUCGUCAGCUCGUGCCGUGAGGUGUCGGCUUAAGUGCCAUAACGAGCGCAACCCUUGUUGUCAGUUACUAACAGGUUCCGCUGAGGACUCUGACAAGACUGCCAUCGUAAGAUGUGAGGAAGGUGGGGAUGACGUCAAAUCAGCACGGCCCUUACGUCCGGGGCUACACACGUGUUACAAUGGGGGGUACAGAGGGCCGCUACCACGCGAGUGGAUGCCAAUCCCCAAAACCUCUCUCAGUUCGGACUGGAGUCUGCAACCCGACUCCACGAAGCUGGAUUCGCUAGUAAUCGCGCAUCAGCCACGGCGCGGUGAAUACGUUCCCGGGCCUUGUACACACCGCCCGUCAAGCCAUGGGAGCCGGGGGUACCUGAAGUGCGUAACCGCGAGGAGCGCCCUAGGGUAAAACUGGUGACAGG